UACGUAGGUGGCAAGCGUUGUUCGGAAUUAUUGGGCGUAAAGGGUGCGUAGGCGGUUUUGUAAGUCUUGUGUGAAAUCUUCAGGCUCAACUUGAAGACUGCACGAGAAACUGCAGGGCUUGAGUGUGGGAGAGGUGAGUGGAAUUCCUGGUGUAGCGGUGAAAUGCGUAGAGAUUGGGAAGAACACCGGUGGCGAAAGCGCUCUGCUGGGCCGCAACUGACACUAAUGGACGAAAGCUAGGGGAGCGAAUGGG
rnacentral:rRNA from 1 species